rnacentral:misc_RNA from 1 species
GAUGAAGAACGCAGCGAAAUGCGAUAAGUAAUGUGAAUUGCAGAAUUCAGUGAAUCAUCGAAUCUUUGAACGCACAUUGCGCCCGCCAGUAUUCUGGCGGGCAUGCCUGUCUGAGCGUCAUUUCAACCCUCAGCCCCCGCUCGCGGGGCGCUGGCGUUGGGGAUCGCCCGUCCUCGCGGCGGCCGGCCCCGAAACACAGUGGCGGUCUCUCGCGGACUCCCCUGCGUAGUAGCACUACCUCGCAGAAGGGACGAGCGGGCUGACCACGCCGUAAAACCCCCCACUUCUCCAGGUUGACCUCAGAUCAGGUAGGAAUACCCGCUGAACUUAAGCAUAUCAAUAAGCGGAGGA